UCUCGCGAGAGCAAGCGGACCUCAUAAAGUGCGUCGUAGUCCGGAUUGGAGUCUGCAACUCGACUCCAUGAAGUCGGAAUCGCUAGUAAUCGUGGAUCAGAAUGCCACGGUGAAUACGUUCCCGGGCCUUGUACACACCGCCCGUCACACCAUGGGAGUGGGUUGCAAAAGAAGUAGGUAGCUUAACCUUCGGGAGGGCGCUUACCACUUUGUGAUUCAUGACUGGGGUGAAGUCGUAACAAGGUAACCGUAGGGGAACCUGCGGUUGGAUCACCUCCUUA
rnacentral:rRNA from 1 species